AAUGCUCUUUUGAACACAUCACUUCCCUGUACCCAUGGGACAAAGGCAACAGGAAGGGCUGCCACUCACAGGCCACACCUAUUCCUUAGUGAAGGAGAUCUGAGCAAAGGAGUACAAAUGCUUUGCACCCUGCCAGGCUUCAGGCAAUGUAGCACCUUUGUAGUCAGCCCAUGGGACUCUUUUGGAGGCUGUGCCUGGCAGCAAGGGGGAGAGAGAUCCUUAUUACUACUCUGAAUGCAACACGUUGUCUCAAAACCAUCUAUAGAGCUCCAGGCCCAGAGAUGUUCCCCUACCACAGAGGCUUACUGGUGUGUUUGAUUAUUUGCAGUUGUUCCAAUGAAGCAUGUGAUAUUUCAUCUAUUUCCAGUUUGCACAAACAUACAGCUCCAGGACAUCAGCUUGCAUCUAAGCCCUGGACAAAUUCCAGUGUCCCAGCUAAAGGAGUAGAGCAGGACGAUCCAAAGGAAGCAGGAGAGGGUGAACGUGAGGACAGAAUAGCAAGCUGGUGGGUCUACUGA
rnacentral:lncRNA from 1 species